AUUGAACGCUGGCGGCAUGCCUUACACAUGCAAGUCGAACGGCAGCACGGGAGCAAUCCUGGUGGCGAGUGGCGAACGGGUGAGUAAUACAUCGGAACGUGCCCAGUAGCGGGGGAUAACCCGGCGAAAGCCGGACUAAUACCGCAUACGACCUACGGGUGAAAGCAGGGGAUCGCAAGACCUUGCGCUAUCGGAGCGGCCGAUGUCAGAUUAGCUAGUGGUAGGGUAAAAGCCUACCAAGGCAACGAUCUGUAGCUGGUCUGAGAGGACGACCAGCCACACUGGGACUGAGACACGGCCCAGACUCCUACGGGAGGCGGCAGUGGGGAAUUUUGGUACAAUGGGCGCAAGCCUGAUCCAGCCAUGCCGCGUGCGGGAAGAAGG
rnacentral:rRNA from 1 species